rnacentral:rRNA from 1 species
UACGUAGGGUGCAAGCGUUGUCCGGAUUUAUUGGGCGUAAAGAGCUCGUAGGCGGUUCGGUUAGUCAGGUGUGAAAUCUCCACGCUCAACGUGGAGGGGCCACCUGAUACUGCCGUGACUUGAGUCCGGUAGGGGAGUGUGGAAUUCCCGGUGUAGCGGUGAAAUGCGCAGAUAUCGGGAGGAACACCCAUAGCGAAGGCAGCACUCUGGGCCGGUACUGACGCUGAGGAGCGAAAGCGUGGGGAGCAAACAGG